rnacentral:rRNA from 1 species
UACGAAGGGAGCAAGCGUUGUCCGGAUUUAUUGGGCGUAAAGAGCGUGUAGGCGGCCAGACAGGUCCGUUGUGAAAACUGGAGGCUUAACCUCCAGACGUCGAUGGAAACCGUCUGGCUAGAGUCCGCAAGAGGAGAGUGGAAUUCCUGGUGUAGCGGUGAAAUGCGCAGAUAUCAGGAAGAACACCCGUGGCUAAGGCGGCUCUCUAGUACGGUACUGACGCUGAGACGCGAAAGCGUGGGGAGCGAACAGG